AUAUCGGUAGUUUACUACCGUUUGAGGGGGAGUGGAAACUGAUCAGGCGCUCCCUGAGAAGGAGUACACUUCUUUUCUCCACCCUUGACUUUUUGCGUACCCAUGUUUCCUCGGCAGGCUUGCCUGCCGGUUGGACAAUCUUAGAACCUUUUAAUUUCAAUCAGUGUCUGAACAAAUAUAAUAAUUA
rnacentral:misc_RNA from 1 species